CGUAGGCGGUUUGUUAAGUCGGAUGUGAAAGCCCCGGGCUCAACCUGGGAAUUGCAUCCGAUACUGGCCGACUGGAGUGCGAGAGAGGGAGGUAGAAUUCCACGUGUAGCGGUGAAAUGCGUAGAUAUGUGGAGGAAUACCGGUGGCGAAGGCGGCCUCCUGGCUCGACACUGACGCUGAGGUGCGAAAGCGUGGGGAGCAAACA
rnacentral:rRNA from 1 species